AUUGAACGCUGGCGGCAGGCUUAACACAUGCAAGUCGAGCGGGGUGAUGGUGCUUGCACUAUCACUUAGCGGCGGACGGGUGAGUAAUGCUUAGGAAUCUGCCUAUUAGUGGGGGACAACAUCUCGAAAGGGAUGCUAAUACCGCAUACGUCCUACGGGAGAAAGCAGGGGAUCACUUGUGACCUUGCGCUAAUAGAUGAGCCUAAGUCGGCUUAGCUAGUUGGUGGGGUAAAGGCCUACCAAGGCGGCGAUCUGUAGCGGGUCGGAGAGGAUGAUCCGCCACACUGGGACUGAGACACGGCCCAGACUCCUCCGGGAGGCAGUAGUGGGGAAUAUUGGACAAUGGGGGGAACCCUGAUCCAGCCAUGCCGCGUGUGUGAAGAAGGCCUUAUGGUUGUAAAGCACUUCAAGCGAGGAGGAGGCUCUUUUGGUUAAUACCCAAGAUGAGUGGACGUUACUCGCAGAAUAAGCACCGGCUAACUCUGUGCCAGCCGCCGCCGCAG
rnacentral:rRNA from 1 species